ensembl:lncRNA
GAGCAAUGGCUUUGCAGCAUGGGAGCCCCAAGUGUGUGAGUCCGUGCUGUGCAACCCUGGUUGACAAUGGCAAAGCCAUUUAGACCUCGGUUUCCUGGCACAAUGAAUAGUUAUUGAAUCUGCGUCUGUCCAGGGGACGGGGACAGAAAAAAGUCUUUGACUUGGAUCUCCACGUGAGGAAAUGGCCACUACUCCCUAAAGUGAAGGAAAAGAAACACAGGGAGGAGCCAGAGGGGCUCAGAUGCAGGGCCCAGGGAGCGGUCAGGUAAUUCCACCUGGGGAGGAGGUGGACGCUCUCUCACUUUGCACCCUCUCCUAAGGUGGGGAAGUUGUGGCCCAACAGGCACCCUUCCCUUCACCCCCUAGCAGUUGAGGAUGGCUGGGCUUUGAGAGAUUUCCUGUGUUGACCUGAAAUGCAAAAAGGCAGCUGCCUGGCCGGGACAAAGCACCUCAGGGUCCUCAUUGUCCUCCUCCCUCCUGCCCUGGAAAUCCCCCCACCCCUGCCCAAAGACUACACGUGUCUCCAUUAGCAGAGCAUUAUUUUGCAAGAGAAGCGUGUUCCUUUUCUCAAUAGGAAGGAAGAAAUAAAUGAAGGCACCAGCCAGGCCGGAGAAACUUGCAAGUCGCUGUGACUGCUUCGGAUCCAGCACACCCCACCCACCUCGGGCUGUGGACGCCACCUGCAGCAGCCCGGGGAAGACGGAGGAAGAGGCGCUGGCUGCGGAGCAGGUCCUUGGCAAAGAGCGGAAGGUGACGGGGCGCAGGGAGCGCCUGCUCUUAGGAUCCUGCCUCUCAGCUGAGGAGGGAGCAAUUCAAGUUUUAAUAAUCUCAGGCAUAUGAAUGAUGCAAACUUGCAACAGCGUUUGAAAGUGCACUUAUUUAAACUUCUUUUUCCUCUAAAUAGCUUUGCGACUGUCGACCGGUAAAUUUUCCUUUUUAUUUCAUCACAUUCAUCGUUUGCCCUCUUGCCAGCAGGGACCCCACAAUGGCGACAAAUGGGUUCUCCGGGGCAAAUGGCAAAAGAGAGGAAGUUUCCCGUCGGACUUUCCCAAGCCCCCCUCUCCCCGCCCCUUCUUGCACCUGGACCUUCUGAGGCUGUCGCACCCCUCCCCUGGGCGGGGCCGGCACUAGGGAUACUGGAUUUCUCCUACUCUUCCCGCCCCUGGAUUCUUUCAGCCCUCACCCCCUCCCAGGAAAGAGGAAGAGAAGCAGCGGUGACGAGGACAGGCGGUGGUUGCCUACCCAGGAAUCCGAGGAAAGAAAGCACAGUUUUGCCGGUUCUCCCAAAAGGGCAGUUUUGGAGGUGGGCGUGGCACCAGUGCCCAUGGAGGCAAGGGUGGCGGCCUGCCUACUCUUGUUGUCUGAAUCACACCACAUUAACUGCAGGUGGGCAAGAAGACCACAGGCCCUGUGCGCUGGCCCUCCCCCGCUCUGCCACCAAGUGCACGUCUCCACCCGCAGAAGCCCACCGAGUCAUUUCCCACCCUGAACCUUCCCGAGGCGGCCCAGCUGUCAGGAGAUGGACCGUGGGCCGGGCGCAAGGACGCCUUGGACUCUCUGGGGCAGGCUGCCAGCUGCCCUCCCGACUGAGCCGCGAGUGCCACAGUCCAUAUCUAAACUCUGGGGUCCCGUGGGAGAAGAGCCAGGUCCCUCGGGGGCCGGCAGCAGAUGCACCUCACUCGAUGCGACCUGCCCGGGACCUGUUGGCCGCCGCCUUUUGUGUGCGGCUGCUCGAGCCCUCGAGAGGCAGGCGGAGAGGACCCACCGGGGACCAGUGCUCUGCCCUGCGAAGCGCGCGACGGGGAGGUGCUCCCGGAAAGCGGACAAGUUGGGGAGCCACCAUGUUGGAGGCACAGGCCAGCUCCACAUGGGUUGGCGUUUUUUCGCCAGCAAAGGGCGGAGGAAGAGGACUCCAAGUGAAGGCAGGCUGACAUUUCUAGUGCAAUACUGCCA